UACGUAGGGAGCAAGCGUUGUCCGGAAUCAUUGGGCGUAAAGCGCGCGUAGGUGGCCCAGUAAGUCCGUUCUGAAAGUCACAGGCUCAACCUGUGAAAGCGGAUGGAUACUGCUGGGCUAGAGUCCGGAAGAGGCGAGUGGAAUUCCUGGUGUAGCGGUGGAAUGCGCAGAUAUCAGGAGGAACACCAGCUGGCGAAGGC
rnacentral:rRNA from 1 species